rnacentral:rRNA from 1 species
ACCCGCUGAACUUAAGCAUAUCAGUAAGCGGAGGAAAAGAAACUAACUAGGAUUCCCCGAGUAGCGGCGAGCGAAAGGGGAGAAGCCCAGCGCCGAAGCCCGCCGCCCUCCGGUGGCCGUGCAAUGUGGCGUUUCGGCGGCGACUCGCUGCGCUCCGCUCUGACACGAGUACCUCUGAAUGGGUCGGCCCGUAGCGGGUGUCAGGCCUCUACCUGUCAGAUUGAGCGGGCGCGGCACGUCGUCGUCGCGGAGUCGGGUUGCUUGAGAGUGCAGCCCAAAGUGGGUGGUAAGCUCCAUCUAAGGCUAAAUACCUAGUGCGAGACCGAUAGCAAACAAGUACCGUGAGGGAAAGUUGCAAAGAACUUUGAAAAGAGAGUUCAAGAGUACGUGAAACCGUUCAGAGGCAAACGGACGGAACUGGGCGAGUUCGCCGUCGUCAUUCAGCCGUCGCGUUCGCGCGGCGGUGCACUUGGCGGCGGCGGAGCGCGACGACCGUCUGCCGGGUCGUCGGAAGCACGGCGGCAAGGUGGCGACGCGCUCGCGCGUCGUGUUACAGGCCGGCCGAUGCGUUGACUGACUUGGCGGGCGAGGAGCGCCUGCGGUGCACUCCCCCUUCGGGCGGGAGUGACCCGACGUGGUGGGCUUGCGGACGCCGGCGACGAACUGCUCGCAGUUUGACGUCGCGCGCUCUGUCUGUCGCGCCGCGCGGUGUCACGAGGCACCCAGGGUCCGGGUCGUGUGGUUCCUGGCACUCCGUCCGACCCGUCUUGAAACACGGACCAAGGAGUUGAGCACGCGCGCGAGUCGAUGGGCAUCAUGAACCCCAGUGGCGCAGCUAAGGCAAAACGGGCGUGAUCCGGCACUGGCGUGUCGGCGCAACGCCGGCCCGCGGCCGACUCGAUGCGAGUAGCCGCGGCGCAAGAGCGUGCGUGCUCAGACCCGAAAGGUGGUGAACUAUGCUUGAGCAGGGCGAAGCCAGAGGAAACUCUGGUGGAGGCUCGCAGCGAUCCUGACGUGCAAAUCGGUCGUCAAACUUGAGCAUAGGGGCGAAAGACUAAUCGAACCGCCUAGUAGCUGGUUCCCUCCGAAGUUUCCCUCAGGAUAGCUGGCACUCGGGAUAAAUGGUUUUAUCCGGUAAAGCGAAUGAUUAGAGGCAUUGGGGACGAAACGUCCUCAACCUAUUCUCAAACUUUAAAUGGGUAAGAAGCGCGGCCCUUCCCUAUCGGGGCCGCGUGCUUGAACAGAGAGUGCCCAGUGGGCCGUUUUUGGUAAGCAGAACUGGCGCUGUGGGAUGAACCAAACGCGCGGUUAGGGUGCCUAACGCACGCUCAUGAGACACCACAAAAGGUGUUGGUUGAUAUAGACAGCAGGACGGUGGCCAUGGAAGUCGGAACCCGCUAAGGAGUGUGUAACAACUCACCUGCCGAAUCAACUAGCCCUGAAAAUGGAUGGCGCUGGAGCGUGCGACCCAUACCGCGCCGUCGGGGCAAUGCGUGCGUAAUGCCAGGCCCCGACGAGUAGGAGGGCGUGUCGGUGGCGUUGAAGCGUAGCGCGUGAGCGCGCGUGGAGCCGCCUUCAGUGCAGAUCUUGGUGGUAGUAGCAAGUAUACAAAUGAGAACUUUGUAGACCGAAGUGGAGAAGGGUUCCAUGUGAACAGCAGUUGGACAUGGGUCAGUCGGCCCUAAGAGAUCGGAGAAUUCCGUUCUGAACGGGGAAGACGCGUCGCGUGCACGGCCGUCAGAAUCCAAUCUGAGAGCGGCGCGUCACGCGCUCGCGCUUGUCACACCCCGAUGCGAUCGAAAGGGAAUCGGGUUAAUAUUCCCGAACCUGGCAGUGGAGAUUGGGCUCUCGGGCCCCAGUGCGGUAACGCAACCGAACUCGGAGACGCCAGCGUCGAUCCCGGGAAGAGUUCUCUUUUCUUUGUUAGGAGCGGACUCCCUGGAAUUGGCUUGUCCAGAGAUAGGGACGUUGCAUCCGUAAAGCGUCGCGCCUCACGCGGCGUCCGGUGCAUCGGCGUUGGCCCUUGAAAAUCCGAGGGAGGCAGUGUAAUUUUCACUCCAGGCCGUACCCGAAUCCGCAGCAGGUCUCCAAGGUGAACAGCCUCUGGUCGAUAGAACAAUGUAGGUAAGGGAAGUCGGCAAAUCCGAUCCGUAACUUCGGGACAAGGAUUGGCUCUGAGGUGCGGGCUGCUUCGGGUCGCGGCAGGAAGCGGGCCGUGCGUUGGUUGGACUGGACGCGUUUGCGCGCGUUCGGACCGCCGCCAGCGCGCGUCCGUGGGAGGCCGUGGCUUUCGGCGGCGUGGGACUCGUGCCCGCGUCGCCUUCGUUCGGCCUAAACGCACAGCACAGAACUGGCACGGACUCUGGGAACACGACUGUCUAAUUAAAACAAAGCAUCGCGAUGGCCGCUGGUCGGUGUUGACGCGAUGUGAUUUCUGCCCAGUGCUUUGAAUGUCAAAGUGAAGAAAUUCAACCAAGCGCAGGUAAACGGCGGGAGUAAC